ensembl:misc_RNA Metazoa_SRP Metazoan signal recognition particle RNA
GCUGGGCGUGGUGGCGCAUGCCUGUAGUCCCAGCUACUCAGGAGGCUGAGGUGGGAGGAUCACUUGAGCCCGGGAGGUCGAGACUGCAGUGAGCCAUGAUCACACCACUGCACCCCAGCCUGGGUGACAGAGUGAGACCCUGUCUCAA